rnacentral:lncRNA from 10 species
CUUAACAGAUGUUUUUUUUUCUUUUGAGACAGAGUUUUGCUCUUUUUGCCCAGGCUGCAAUGGCGUGAUCUUGGCUCACCGCAACCUCCGCCUCCCGGAUUCAAGCGAUUCUCCUGCCUCAGCCUCCCAAGUAGCUGGAAUUACAGAUAAAUGUUUCAGAAUGCUGCCACCAACCAUCCUGCAACCAUGAGUGGCAAGCCCAAGACCAAAAACCAAAUAUUGAGGAUGGCAAAGAAAAAAGAAAGAGACUGGACUGUUGGGGACAUCACUGAGCCACUUUGCCAAACCUGGAGUUGCCUACCUUCAAAAGAGGAAGAGGCAGAGCAAGACGGCUCAAUAGAAGCCUCCACUAAUUGUCCUCCCCACUGGAACACCAAAUUGAACAACUAUCCACACAAAGAAGCACCUUCGUAAGAACCAAAAAUCAGGUGCCAGACAGAAAGUCAUCUCUCUGCUCAACUGAGACAAAUGCAGAUUCAUUGAGCCAGACUAAGGCAUAAGUGACUAUUCCUCUAUGUUCCCCAACAUGUAAAUUGUGGAUUCAGUGAAAGGCUGAUUGAAGAGUCAGAAGAAUGUAACUUUUUGUCUCUUAUCUACCUGGAACCACACCUUAUCUACCUGGAACUGUCCCCUCCCCGCCCCCCCAAUCCCGCCCUGUUUUGAGUUGUCCUGCCUUUCUGGACCAAAUCAAUGCACAUCUUACACAUAUUGAUUGAUGUCUCAUAUCUCCCUAAAAUGUGUAAAAGUGAGCUGUACCCUGACCACCUUGAGCACAUGUUGCCAGGACACAGCCUCCUGAGGGUACAUCUUUAACCUUGGCAAAAUAAACUUUCUAAAUUGAUUAAGGCCUGUCUCAGACACUUUGAGUUGACAAUACACAAAAACUAAAAAGGAAGAAAUUAAAAGAUACCACCAGAGAAAAUCGCAUUCACUAAAAGGAAGACCACAAAACAACCAGAAAACAAAUAACAAAAUGGCAGGCAUAAGUCCUUACUUAUCAAAAAUAGCAUUGAAUGUAAAUGAAAUAAACUCUCCAAUCAAAAGACAUACCAUGGCUGAAUGGAUUUAAAAACAAGACCCAAUGAUCUUUUGCCUACAAGAAACACAUUUCACCUAUAAAUAUAUGUAUAGACUAAAAAUAAAGGGAUGGAAAAAUAUAUUCCCUGCAAGUGGAAACCAAAAAUGAGUAGGAAUAGCUAUACUUACAUCAGAUAAAAUAGAUUUCAAGACAAAUGCUACCAUGCCCAGUUAAAUGUUUUUUUUUUUUAAAGUGUUUGUAGAGACAGGGGUCUUGCUAAGUUGCCCAGGCUGGUCUUGAACUCCCGGUCUCAAGCCAUCUUCCUGCAUCAGCCUCCCAAAGUGCUAUAGGCAUGAGCUACUGGGCCUGCACUGUUUUUCUUUUAAUAUUUUAGAGACAUUGUUCUACUAUCUGCUGGCUUGCAUUGUUUACACUGAGAAUCUUCUGUAAUUCUUAUGUUUGUCCCUCUGUAUGUAAUAUGCCUUUUUUCUCCUGCAUUUUUAACAUUUUCUCUUUGCCACUAA